CCAGCCGUUGAUCAUGCUUCCA
rnacentral:siRNA from 1 species